rnacentral:lncRNA from 1 species
AUAAAUAAUUGCAAACUGCUAGCAGGUAAUGUGGAGAUCUUAAUCUUUUUUUUUUUUAAAGUGGAACUUAAAAUGUAUGUCUAGAUAAAUUUUUCUCUUCUUUUCUCCCAUCCACAAUCCCUGCCCCACUUGCCUCCUUUAGACAGACAGCAAGAAGAAACAAAACCAGAGGAGAAGAAUGGAGCUGG